rnacentral:lncRNA from 1 species
GGACAACUAAUAUCAUUGAAUAUCAGUAUUAAUGUCAGCACGAUUUGUGAAGAAGAGUAUCCUAAUAGUAUAACAGUUAAUAUACUGAAUACUGAUAACACAGUAAUAAAAAACGCUAGUAUAUCAGCACAAGUUAAUUACCAACUGAUGAUUACUGGAGUCAUUGCUGUGCCUAUUAAUUUGUAUACAUUUGUUGCUAAUGUAUCACUGAGUAAUAAUGGAGGAACAUUCAAUAACAUGUCAUCUUUUACAUUUAGUUUUCUUGGACCAGUUACUAACAUUAGCUCUUCAAUAGACAACUGUUCUACUAUUGAUAUAACAUGGACUGCUCCUACAGUUGAUGAUAGAGUAUCUAUACAGUAUUACAUACUAAGAAUAUAUGAUGCUAUUACUGGUAGUCCAGUGAGUAAUGUAUCAGUAUAUGAUACCAGUUAUCAGUUUAUGGAUAAUAAUUUAUUUAUUCAUCGUUAUACAUAUGUUAUAACUGGAGUUAAUGAAUUAGGAGAAGGAAUAUCUAAUA